rnacentral:rRNA from 2 species
GGAACUGCAUUCGAAACUGGCAGGCUUGAGUCUUGUAGAGGGGGGUAGAAUUCCAGGUGUAGCGGUGAAAUGCGUAGAGAUCUGGAGGAAUACCGGUGGCGAAGGCGGCCCCCUGGACAAAGACUGACGCUCAGGUGCGAAAGCGUGGGGAGCAAACAGGAUUAGAUACCCUGGUAGUCCACGCCGUAAACGAUGUCUACUUGGAGGUUGUGCCCUUGAGGCGUGGCUUCCGGAGCUAACGCGUUAAGUAGACCGCCUGGGGAGUACGGCCGCAAGGUUAAAACUCAAAUGAAUUGACGGGGGCCCGCACAAGCGGUGGAGCAUGUGGUUUAAUUCGAUGCAACGCGAAGAACC